GACGAACGCUGGCGGCGUGCUUAACACAUGCAAGUCGAACGGAAAGACCCUGCUUUUGUGGGGUGCUCGAGUGGCGAACGGGUGAGUAACACGUGAGUAACCUGCCCUUGACUUUGGGAUAACUUCAGGAAACUGGGGCUAAUACCGGAUAUGAGCUCCUGCUGCAUGGUGGGGGUUGGAAAGUUUCGGCGGUUGGGGAUGGACUCGCGGCUUAUCAGCUUGUUGGUGGGGUAGUGGCUUACCAAGGCUUUGACGGGUAGCCGGCCUGAGAGGGUGACCGGCCACAUUGGGACUGAGAUACGGCCCAGACUCCUACGGGAGGCAGCAGUGGGGAAUAUUGCACAAUGAGCGGAAGCCUGAUGCAGCAACGCCGCGUGCGGGAUGACGGCCUUCGGGUUGUAAACCGCUUUCGCCUGUGACGAAGCGUGAGUGACGGUAAUGGGUAAAGAAGCACCGGCUAACUACGUG
rnacentral:rRNA from 1 species